rnacentral:rRNA from 1 species
GACGAACCGUACGAACGUUAUUCGGAAUCACUGGGCUUAAAGGGUGCGUAGGCUGCGCAGCAAGUUGGGUGUGAAAUCCCUCGGCUUAACCGAGGAACUGCGCCCAAAACUGCUGUGCUCGAGGGAGACAGAGGUGAGCGGAACUUAGGGUGGAGCGGUGAAAUGCGUUGAUAUCCUAAGGAACACCGGUGGCGAAAGCGGCUCACUGGGUCUCUUCUGACGCUGAGGCACGAAAGCGUGGGUAGCAAACAGG